UACCUCUAGUAUCCGCUGAGUCUGUGGUC
rnacentral:piRNA from 1 species